UUCUGAGGUUAGGUUAUGAAAGGCUGCAGCUUCCAUUUUAGGUUUUCCUUCUGGAACAGUCGCUCUUGGGGGAGCCAGCUGCCACGUCCUAAGGACACCUAGCCUGUGGAGACACCCACACGACAAGGAACUGAGGUCACCAGCCAGCAGCCAGUGGGGCAAGGAGGCUUCCUCCCUGUCAUCGAAGCAGGUCAGCCCCCAGCUCGCCUUUCUAACGGUGACAGCCUCACAGAACAGUGUGACGGCAACCUCGAGAGGCUCUGAGGCAGAAACACCCAGAGGUUAUAUGCUAAACGAAUGUUGCCUCAAAUCAAGGCUUACCCCACAGGUUCUAAAAAGGCAUCCAAGCAUAUUGCACAGAGCCUUGACCGUCUCCCUCAUUGCGGGCAGAUUCUUCACUGUCUGAGCCACCAGGGUAGCUCUGCUCCUGACAGUCUUUAGAGCUGCAUACACAGAGCGCCAGGAAUCACCAACCUGCAGAACCGGGGAACUCUCACAGCGGCUUUUGUUUUCUGGGAAAAUCGCAACUUUGUCAAAAGGCCUGGGAUGUGCUCAGAUCAGUGCCUCAGCAAAUUAACUGGGAAAGGAGUACAUGGAGGCUGUACAUUGUUACCCUGCUUAACUUAACUUAUAUGCAGAGUAUAUCAUACAAAAUGCCAGGCUGGAUGAAGCACAAGCUGGAGUCAAGAUUGCCGGGAGAAAUAUCAAUAACCUCAGAUAUGCAGAUGACACCACCCUUAUGGCAGAAAGCAAAAAGGAACUAAAGAGCCUCUUGAUGAAGGUGAAAGAGGAGAGUGAAAAAGGUGGCAUAAAACUCAACAUUCAAAAAACUAAGAUCAUGGCAUCCGGUCCCACCACUUCAUGGCAAAUAGAUGGGGAAAAGUGGAAACAGUGACAGAUUUUAUUUUCUUGGGCUCCAAAAUCACUGUGGACAGUGACUGCAGCCACAAAAUUAAAAGAUGCUCCUUGGAAGAAAAGCUAUGACAAACAUAGACAGCAUAUUAAAGAGCAGAGACAUUAAUUUGCUGACAAAGGUCCAUACAGUCAAAGCUAUGGUUUUUCCAGUAGUCAUGUAUGGACGUGAAAGUUG
ensembl:lncRNA